rnacentral:rRNA from 1 species
CUACGGGGCGCAGCAGUGAGGAAUAUUGGUCAAUGGGCGGAAGCCUGAACCAGCCAUCCCGCGUGCAGGAUGACGGCCCUAUGGGUUGUAAACUGCUUUUCUGGGGGAAGAAACCUACUUACGUGUAAGUAUCUGCCGGUACCCCAGGAAUAAGCACCGGCUAACUCCGUGCCAGCAGCCGCGGUAAUACGGAGGGUGCAAGCGUUAUCCGGAUUUAUUGGGUUUAAAGGGUGCGCAGGCGGAAGGCUAAGUCAGUGGUGAAAUACUGCCGCUUAACGGUAGGGCUGCCAUUGAUACUGGUUGUCUUGAGUAUGGUUGAGGUAGGCGGAAUGUGCGGUGUAGCGGUGAAAUGCAUAGAUAUCGCCCAGAACGCCGAUUGCGAAGGCAGCUUACUAAGCCAUUACUGACGCUGGGGCACGAAAGCGUGGGUAGCGAACAGGAUUAGAUACCCUAGGUAGUC